CAUGCAUGUCUCAGUACAAGCCAAAUUAAGGUGAAACCGCGAAAGGCUCAUUAAAUCAGUUAUGGUUCCUUAGAUCGUACCCACAUUUACUUGGAUAACUGUGGUAAUUCUAGAGCUAAUACAUGCAAAUAGAGCUCCGACCGGAGACGGAAGGAGUGCUUUUAUUAGAUCAAAACCAAUCGGCGGCGGUACGCGCAAGCGGUUCGUUCGUCGCUAACACUGGUGAAUCUGAAUAACUUUUGCUGAUCGCACGGUCUCGUACCGGCGACGCAUCUUUCAAAUGUCUGCCUUAUCAACUGUCGAUGGUAGGUUCUGCGCCUACCAUGGUUGUAACGGGUAACGGGGAAUCAGGGUUCGAUUCCGGAGAGGGAGCCUGAGAAACGGCUACCACAUCCAAGGAAGGCAGCAGGCGCGCAAAUUACCCACUCCCGGCACGGGGAGGUAGUGACGAAAAAUAACGGUACAGGACUCAUCCGAGGCCCUGUAAUCGGAAUGAGUACACUUUAAAUCCUUUAACGAGUAUCAAUUGGAGGGCCAGUCUGGUGCCAGCAGCCGCGGUAACUCCAGCUCCAAUAGCGUAUAUUAAAGUUGUUGCGGUUAAAAAGCUCGUAGUUGAAUCUGUGUUCCGCGCUGUCGGUUCUCCGCCCGCGGAGUUUAACUGGCACGCCGCGGAACGUCCUGCCGGUGGACCGCUUCGUUGCCGCUGUCGGCGUGCGCCGUUCGCGCGGCGUUGCGUCCGGCUCGGCCGCGGCUGACCGACUCACGAUCCUACCGCGGUGCUCUUCACUGAGUGUCGAGGUGGGCCGGCACGUUUACUUUGAACAAAUUAGAGUGCUCAAAGCAGGCCGACAACACGCCUGAAUAUUGUGUGCAUGGAAUAAUGGAACAGGACCUCGGUUCUAUUUUGUUGGUUUUCGGAAUCCCGAGGUAAUGAUUAAUAGGGACAGAUGGGGGCAUUCGUAUUGCGACGUUAGAGGUGAAAUUCUUGGACCGUCGCAAGACGGACAGAAGCGAAAGCAUUUGCCAAAAAUGUUUUCAUUAAUCAAGAACGAAAGUCAGAGGUUCGAAGGCGAUCAGAUACCGCCCUAGUUCUGACCAUAAACGAUGCCAGCUAGCGAUCCGCUGACGUUCCUCCGAUGACUCGGCGGGCAGCUUCCGGGAAACCAAAGCUUUUGGGUUCCGGGGGAAGUAUGGUUGCAAAGCUGAAACUUAAAGGAAUUGACGGAAGGGCACCACCAGGAGUGGAGCCUGCGGCUUAAUUUGACUCAACACGGGAAACCUCACCAGGCCCAGACACCGUUAGGAUUGACAGAUUGAGAGCUCUUUCUUGAUUCGGUGGGUGGUGGUGCAUGGCCGUUCCUGGUUGGUGGAGCGAUUUGUCUGGUUAAUUCCGAUAACGAACGAGACUCUAGCCUGCUAAAUAGACGUUACUUUCCGGCAUCCUGAAGGCUCGCGCCGUCCGUCAGCCGGACCCGGCGUUCGUCGGCGGUUCGCCGUCCGUCGGCGUCGGUGCUCCGGUCGGUCGGUUGCGGUUUUUACUGCCGGCGUUCAAAUAUAUCUUCUUAGAGGGACAGGCGGCUCUCAGCCGCAUGAGAUUGAGCAAUAACAGGUCUGUGAUGCCCUUAGAUGUUCUGGGCCGCACGCGCGCUACACUGAAGGAAUCAGCGUGUCUUCCCUGGCCGAGCGGUCCGGGUAACCCGCUGAACCUCCUUCGUGCUAGGGAUUGGGGCUUGCAAUUGUUCCCCAUGAACGAGGAAUUCCCAGUAAGCGCGAGUCAUAAACUUGCGUUGAUUACGUCCCUGCCCUUUGUACACACCGCCCGUCGCUACUACCGAUUGAAUGAUUUAGUGAGGUCUUCGGACCGGUACGCGGUGGCGUUUCGCGCGUCGCCGAUGUCGCUGGGAAGAUGACCAAACUUGAUCAUUU
rnacentral:rRNA from 1 species